rnacentral:rRNA from 1 species
UCAUGAAGAAAAUAAAGCUGGUAAAUAAAAACAACUGUUUCAAGCCUAAAGAAUUUGGCGGUGUUUUAUCUAAUCAGGGGAACCUGUUACUUAAUUCGACAGUCCACGACCAUCUUUCCACUAUUUGAAAACACAGUAUGUGUACUGCCGUCAAAUAUACCUUAAAAAGCAGUAUAUAAUAAUAGUAUUUUGUAUUAAUUAUGUCAGGUCAUAGUACAGCUAAUAUAGUGGUGCAAAAUGGGUUACACUCAAUAAAUAGUCCCGACAUUAAAAUAAAAUUUUUAACAAAAGCCGGACUUGAUAGUAAUGAUUAGAUAUUACAUAAUCAUGAAAAAAGAUCUAAAACAUGCACAAAUCGCCCGUCGCUCUCAUCGAAAGACG